rnacentral:lncRNA from 1 species
ACCUGGACUGGAGGGGCCCUGGGCCCGUUUUCCCCAGCAAGGGGACAGGAGUAGCUUUUUCUGAGGGAGGACAACGAAGUCUUUACUCACCCCUCUGCCUCUGCGUCUUUUUGCUGGACUUUGCUGCCGCCUAGUGGCUCAGUUGUCAUCACUUCCUUCUCUGAGAGAGAGACAGCCAGCCUUGGAUUGAGUUUGAGGAUCUAGCCUCUCAGUCUAGUCCUGAGGCAACCUGGAGAUCCUUCUCUGAGAAGUUUCUCUGCUCUAGGACUCCCUGGUUCUGUGGCCCAGCAGCUAGGAGAGAGGAGCACCAUGGGCUUCUAGGCCUCACUCAGUCUGGCAGUCAGGCUCUGGGUCAUAGAAAAGGCCACACGAGCUUUCUGGCUCUGAACUCCGUAUGUUAAUUCCUGGAUCAGAGGCAUAAUCCUGUUUGAGCCAGGGACAUUGCUUUGGAGUUGCUCAGAGAAAAUGGGUAAGUAUUCCCGGUGUCCACCCAACAGAGGCAGAGGGCUGUGGGGGUUUGCUGUGGCCACCCUCACUCUUCCCCAUAUGCCAAGUCCUUUGAGAUUUGCAGAGUACUUGGGAUUAUAGGAAUGACUUGGGCUCCAUCAGUCUCCUGGGGGCUGAGUAUGUCAGUAAGAGUACCUGUAGUGAGUAGUCAGAGGAUAAAAAUGAACUUUCUAUACCAUAAUACACUAGAAAAAUCAAGUUUUUUAUUUUAAAAUAUUUUCAAAGGCUAAGGCCAUAGCAAAACAACCCAAGGGUGGUUGAAUCAAACUCAGGGAAUUAGAGGAGCAUCAGCCAAUGCAAGCAGGUCUAUAUAAAAUACACAUCAUUUAUAAAUGCACACAGCAGAAAGCACAGUGGCCCCAGAGGACCAGGCAGGGGGACAACAGAGAGAAACAGAGCACUAUCUGGAGGGACAGGCACACCCGCAACACUCAAAGCCCUGGGCCCCAAGUGCACCUCCAAAGUCACCUACGCUGCAGCAUGGCUCUUGCCCUUUCUGAGCCUGGGUAUAGCUGAAGACCAAGUUCACCAGCAUCUUGGCACAUCCACCUAUAACUGGCACCUCUCAUGGCCUCUGACAACCAAGCAAGGCUCAGAGAAUGGAUUUUUAUCUCUGUCUUUCAGCAAGGACCAGGGAGAAGUGCUGAAGCAAGAAGGGUUAUUUUCCUAAAAAAAAAAGACGGAUGAAAGGGUGAAAGGGGCUGGUUCCAAAAAAAAAAAAAAAAAAA